UACAAGCUAUGUAUAAAGUAUAUAUAUGCACCUCUUUAUUUACGAUUAUAGUUAGUUCGAACUUAAUUGUUGACUUUAUCUUACAUUGAAGCUCGCCGCAAAUUCGAAUGUGUAUAGUCAAAGCGUGAAAAUGAGAUAGAACAGCCCCUCUGUCCACGCAGCAUCUGUACAAAAUUAAGCAAUUAAACUAAAUCAGUAACACACUGGUCAGAAAACAGUUUCAAUAAAUACACCAACUUGAUCUGUGCACCGACCUAAGGUCCUAGGAGACAAAGGAAUACUUUUAAGCGCACCGAAGAAGAAAUACUGGCCGACCUCUCAAUGACAUCGGAAGCGAUCCCAACAGCAAACGAAUGGAAUAGAAGAAGUCCAAGACAUCGAUGUGCGGCCUUCCACUUCAAACUCCAACAAAAGAAAAUCAAAAGCAAUGGCAGGAUUUGAAGAAAAGUUCCUGAUUGUAGAGGAAAAAAAAGUUAAAAUAAUGGAGAAUUUAAAUUUAAAAAAGAUAAGCAAAAACUCAAUGUAGAAAAGUUUAGAGCCGAAGGAAUUUAUAGAAAUAAGCAAUUAGAUUUCGAAUUAGAAAAAUGCAAUUAAAAGAAACGGAAUUUGAAUGGAAAAAACAAAACUAGGUUAAUGUUUAUUUUUUAAUUGAAUUUUUUUAAGUUAUGUUCAUGUAUUGUUCUUUUAUGAAUUUAUGUCUUAAUGUAUAUAUUUAGGUAUACAUAUUAAGUCUUAAUGCUGUGAAUUUAUUUUAAGAUAAUCUAAUUGAAAUAAGUCUGUUUUAUUUGUUUGUUUGUAAUGCAUUUUGUGACAUUAAUAUAUUUUCUUUGGAUGGAUGGAUGGAUGGUCUCAGUUACUGGAACAUUGGCUUUUACUAGAAUAUUGUGGAGCACAAUACAAGCGUCUAUUACUUUCCCAGCCUUCUCUGGUUUAUUGCACAAAUACCUCUGACGAGAUAUACAUCGAAACGACCUUUUAAAACUCCUAUGCAGCGCUCAACUAUACAACGUGUCUUCUUAUGAGCAACAUUAUAUUUUUCUUCUGCUUCGUUUGCUGGAUGAAGGAUUGGGGUCAUUAACCAUGGUUGGAGGGGAAAUCCACUAUCUCCUAGCAACCAAAAAUUACGAUGACCCCUUGCAUACUUCUCUUUGAGACAGCUUUGAAUUGCCGAAUGCCGCAGCACGUAUGCAUCAUGUGACGUACCUGGAAACUUCGCAUAGGCAUAGCAGAUUUGAUAUCUCGAGUCACAAAUAGGUAAUAAAUUGA